UUACUGAGUGAGGGCCCCUCGGGGUCCAACCUCCCACCCGUGUUUAACGAACCUUGUUGCUUCGGCGGGCCCGCCUCACGGCCGCCGGGGGGCAUCCGCCCCCGGGCCCGCGCCCGCCGAAGCCACCUGUGAACGCUGUCUGAAGUAUGCAGUCUGAGACAAUUAUUAAAUUAAUUAAAACUUUCAACAACGGAUCUCUUGGUUCCGGCAUCGAUGAAGAACGCAGCGAAAUGCGAUAACUAAUGUGAAUUGCAGAAUUCAGUGAAUCAUCGAGUCUUUGAACGCACAUUGCGCCCUCUGGUAUUCCGGAGGGCAUGCCUGUCCGAGCGUCAUUGCUGCCCUCCAGCCCGGCUGGUGUGUUGGGCCCCGCCCCCCUUCCCGGGGGGGCGGGCCCGAAAGGCAGCGGCGGCACCGCGUCCGGUCCUCGAGCGUAUGGGGCUUUGUCACCCGCUCUUGUAGGCCCGGCCGGCGUCAGCCGACCCCCUCAAUCUAUUUUUUCAGGUUGACCUCGGAUCAGGUAGGGAUACCCGCUGAACUUAAGCAUAUCAAUAAGCGGAGGAAAAGAAACCAACCGGGAUUGCCCUAGUAACGGCGAGUGAAGCGGCAAGAGCUCAAAUUUGAAAGCUGGCCCCCUCGGGGUCCGCAUUGUAAUUUGCAGAGGAUGCUUCGGGAGCGGUCCCCAUCUAAGUGCCCUGGAACGGGCCGUCAUAGAGGGUGAGAAUCCCGUAUGGGAUGGGGUGCCCGC
rnacentral:rRNA from 1 species